AACCUCCGCAAUGUGAGAAAUCGCGACGGGGGGAUCCCAAGUGCCAUUCUUAACGGGAUGGCUUUUCAUUAGUGUAAAGAGCUUUUGGAAUAAGGGCUGGGCAAGACCGGUACCAGCCGCCGCGGUAACACCGGCAGCUCUAGUGGUAGCAGUUUUUAUUGGGCCUAAAGCGUCCGUAGCCGGUUUAAUAAGUCUCUGGUGAAAUCCUGUAGCUUAACUGUGGGAAUUGCUGGAGAUACUAUUAGACUUGAGACCGGGAGAGGUUAGAGGUACUCCCAGGGUAGAGGUGAAAUUCUGUAAUCCUGGGAGGACCGCCUGUUGCGAAGGCGUCUAACUGGAACGGUUCUGACGGUGAGGGACGAAAGUUAGGGGCGCGAACCGGAUUAGAUACCCGGGUAGUCCUAACUGUAAACGAUGCGGACUUGGUGUUGGGGUGGCUUUGAGCUGCUCCAGUGCCGAAGGGAAGCUGUUAAGUCCGCCGCCUGGGAAGUACGGUCGCAAGACUGAAACUUAAAGGAAUU
rnacentral:rRNA from 1 species